UUGCACUCCUUUUGAUGGCAUAUACAUUAAAAUUGAAGCCAUACAGAAGCUUAGCAUGGCUUCUGGACAAAGAUGACAAACAAAUAAGUGAGGCAAUCCACAUAUUU
ensembl:snRNA U6 U6 spliceosomal RNA